rnacentral:rRNA from 1 species
AGUGAACGCUGGCGGUAGGCCUAACACAUGCAAGUCGAACGGCAGCACAGUAAGAGCUUGCUCUUACGGGUGGCGAGUGGCGGGCGGGUGAGGAAUACAUCGGACUCUACUUUUUCGUGGGGGAUAACGUAGGGAAACUUACGCUAAUACCGCAUACGACCUACGGGAGAAAGCAGGGGAUCUUCGGACCUUGCGCGAUUGAAUGAGCCGAUGUCGGAUUAGCUAGUUGGCGGGGUAAAGGCACACCAAGGCGACGAUCCGUAGCUGGUCUGAGAGGAUGAUCAGCCACACUGGAACUGAGACACGGUCCAGACUCCUACGGGAGGCAGCAGUGGGGAAUAUUGGACAAUGGGCGCAAGCCUGAUCCAGCCAUGCCGCGUGGAUGAAGAAGGCCUUCGGGUUGUAAAGCCCUUUUGUUGGGAAAGAAAAGCAGCAGGUUAAUACCCCGCUGUUCUGACGUUACCCAAAGAAUAAGCACCGGCUAACUUCGUG